UACGUAGGUGGCAAGCGUUGUCCGGAUUUAUUGGGUUUAAAGGGUGCGUAGGCGGCCCUGUAAGUCAGUGCUGAAAUAUCCCAGCUUAACUGGGAGGGUGGCAUUGAUACUGCGGGGUUAGAGUACAGAUGAGGUAGGCGGAAUUGACGGUGUAGCGGUGAAAUGCUUAGAUAUCGUCAAGAACACCUAUAGCGAAGGCAGCUUACUAGGCUGUAACUGACGCUGAGGCACGAAAGUGUGGGGAUCAAACAGG
rnacentral:rRNA from 1 species